ensembl:lncRNA
GUUUGGCGGGCCGAAACCUUGCGGUCAAGGAGAAAACAGCCUACUCUCACGCGCGCUUUUUCUUUGUUCCAAGAUUGAUUGAACGACUCGUGUGUUUCUCUUCGUCCUGAAAAUUGCUAUGAAGCUAGAUAACAUGCUAAUGCUGUGUUUUGAACAUAGUUUUACAAGUUUAGUCGACAUAUAAUAUGUAAUUUCAACGUUUUGGUGCGCACCCACUUGACUUUUGGCUGCAUUUCAACCGAAAUGUGUCGUGUUUGAUCACCGAAAGACACAGACUUCCAAACUAAAGCUGUUUUUGGUGCUGGGGACAACGAAAAGGCCACUCUAAAAGGUGCAGUUUUGUCACAUAACACAAUGCCACAGAUGCCUCAGGUUUUGAGGGAGUGUGCAAUUGGCAUGAUGACUGCAGGAAUGUCCACCAUAGGAUUGAAUGUUACUUUCUCUACCAUAAGCGUUUUAGAAAAUUUGGCAGUAUGUCUAACCGGCCUCACAACCGCAGGUCACAUGUAACCACGCCAGCCCAGGAUCUCCACAUACGGCUUCUUCAUCUGCGGGAUUGUCUGAGACCAGCCACCCGGGCAGCUGAUGAAACUGUGGGUUUGCACAACCGAAGAAUUUCUCCACAAACUGUCAGAAAACUGUCUCAGGGAAGCUCAUCUGCGCCCUGCUGAGAUGAAACAAUACAUUACUUGAAAGCUGGCCUGUCCCUCGCCCCAUCUGGACAGGAUAGACACCUCAGAAUCCACAUUGCCUCAAACCAUCGCCCCAUCUGGACCAGCCCAGCCAGGUAGGGGGGCCACAGCACUUCCAGACGGGUCAUCAAUGUUGCAUGGCAUCAGCAGCCGGAACAUUAACUCAUUCCACAUGGAUGUACAUAGUUUGUCCAGGAGGAUGAUCAAAUGUGAAUAUUGAAAGCAGCAGGAUUUGCUGAGGUAAAAUGACUUGUGUAUAAAAUGUUUAUUGAUGGCGCCGGAAGAGAUGGCUGCCGUUUUACAGGCUCCUAACUAAUUGUUCUAUUGUGUGU